rnacentral:lncRNA from 1 species
AGUCAGUAAAAUAAUACUUUGAAAAAAUAGUAGCGAGUGUGGUUGAAAUUAAAGUCAUUCUUUACUUGGAACCCAUGCAGAACCUCGAUCGCAAAAGCUCUUCGUCACUGGCUGAACCACCCAGACGUAAACCCUUUCAAUCUCUCUAAUCCUCUUUUUGUUUUUCUCAUUUUCAUGUAAUAAUGUAACAACGCUUUUGUAUGCCAUUCUAGGGUUUCGAAUUGAUCAGGGACCAUUGAAACGUUCUCUAUUGGAUUUUACAAAUUUAUCCAUCUCUGAUGACAGUGGUAUAUGUUAUGCUGUUUUUUUUUUUUUUUACUUUUAUUACUAUCUUUGAAACAAAACACUGACACCAGACACUACACUGACACGUCAAUACCGA